rnacentral:sRNA from 1 species
UAGUGACAGUCAGAGACUGAAGUCCUUGGUUUAGCCACAGAACAAACGCUGCACUGGCAGCAUCAGUGCAGGCUUCCUACCGAUAAUCUUACACCCUGUCCUGCAGGAGGGGUGGAAGGGAAGGGAAGGGAAGGGAAGCCGCCAUGCAUCCAACAGGGAUGGAGAUGUUCAAACCUGGUUGUGAUGUGCUUGUAGCUGAA